rnacentral:lncRNA from 1 species
GUCGGUGUCGUAGUUGGCCGUGGUACUGCACCAGGGCAAGCCGUCGGAGCGACCGUCGGUGGUGCAGGCAGAGUAGGAGCGGCCCUCGAAGAUGAAGGGGAAGUGGCAGGCCGCGCCAUCUGCGUUUCCAAACCGAGUUGGAACCACUGCAGGAGGAGGGGGGACCGGAGUUAGGGCGGCGGGUGAUGAGUGGGAGAGAAUGAAGGGAAUCAGGGGCCAGGAGGACUCAGAAUCUCACCGACGCCCUUGCCCAGGGACCACAACUCGUCAUCGUCGAAAUGGGCGUCUCCCUGAAUGCCGGGGCCAGGAGGAAAGGCGUGUGCCAGGAGCCCGUCCUUCCCGUCGAAGGGAUACCCGUCUCCGUGCUCUGAAGAAACAGGUCGAGAGGAAGAGGGUUAGCCGAGUACUGCUGCGCAGAUUGUGCGCUGCCCAAGGCAAGGGCUCCGAAAUAAGUGCGGGCUGAAAUCCCGCCUGCGCGAAGCUCUCCCAGCCUGGCGCCCUGGCCCUGUGCACUGUCUGGCAGGAGGGGCCGUAUAAGCCAGGGCAGCGCGGGCAGGCAAGAGGAAGCCGGGGCCACUGCUGCCUCCACGCUCUCCGUGGUCCUCCCUUCCCUGACCCCGCCCAGGUCUCUUGGAUUUUCCCUCCUCACGUUCUCACCCGCGACACCAAACUGGAUGACGAUGUCUGCGUCCCGGCUGUACACGCGAGUGAAGGUGAGCGGCGUCACCGCGCUCCACAGUGCGAAGGCGCGGGCAAAGGCGUCGUCAAUCACCGCCCGCGGCAAGUCUUCCGAGUAGUUUUGGAUCCUGUAGCGUAAGAGCCAGAGGAAGGAGGUCAGAAGUGAAAGGCUGGAGCGGGGCAGCAGGGACACCCCAUAUCGCAGAGACUUCAACAUACACAAUGCUCUCUGCCGUCCACGCUCUCAUCUAUAAAUUGCUUCCAGACUGUUUUUUUUUUUUUUUUUUUUGUCUACUUAGACCCUCACAAUGGCCCUGGCAGGAGGACUUGGAUUGCAAGAGCCAUUUCCCUGAAGGAGAAACAGAGGCUCAGAGAUACGCCCAUCACCACCAACACACCCCUAAAGCAUCUCCUCUGAGGCCCUGCAUCCUCUCUGGGACACUCAACACCCUCACGGACAGCCCUCCCCAACUCUAGACUAGGUGUUUGCCCACCUCUGCCAGCUGCCUGUCGGUGAGAUUGGUUCUCAGGUCUCCAGGGAAGAGCACAAGGGUGGACUGGCGCUGUCUGGGGGCAGCAAAGCAGCAGCCCAGCACCAGGAGCACCAGGACCAGGGGCUGCCAGAGGCUCAUGGUGAGGGCAGAGGUGUCUGACUGCAGCUGCUGUUGUGGGGGCUUUAAGGAGGCGCUCCUGUGACCCCACCCCUCCUUGACAGGCAAGUGCUGACUCAGGGGUCAGGGUGUGUGUGUGUGUGUGUGUGUGUGUGUGUGUGUGUGUGUGUGUGUGGCAGCACCAGCAUGAGAAAGGGCUUACACCACCUCCUCCUCUCUCCACUGCCCGCAGUCUCCACUGCCAAGUCAGGCAAGACCCCAGACCCGCAGGAAACCGCAGGCCCUCAGGGGAGGGGUAGGGUUUUGCAAACUGCAGAGCUUGUGGGAACUGUAUGAAAGGGAGGGAGGGGGAUGAAGCUGGAGGGAUCCCCCAUCCCUUGGUCUGAAAGCCUCCAGUGGUCAGCCAAGGGAAAGUGAUGGAAGACUCCCUGAGACUUCUUUCUGAAACUAAUGAUCCCCCUGGCCCAUCCUUGGCCU